UGGGGAAUAUUGGACAAUGGGGGCAACCCUGAUCCAGCCAUGCCGCGUGAGUGAUGAAGGCCUUCGGGUUGUAAAGCUCUUUUGGCGGGGACGAUGAUGACGGUACCCGCAGAAUAAGCCCCGGCUAACUUCGUGCCAGCAGCCGCGGUAAGACGAAGGGGGCUAGCGUUGUUCGGAAUUACUGGGCGUAAAGCGCGUGUAGGCGGUUGUCCAAGUUGGAUGUGAAAGCCUUGAGCUCAACUCAAGAAAUGCAUUCAGGACUGGAUGACUAGAGGACCGGAGAGGAUAGUGGAAUUCCCAGUGUAGUGGUGAAAUACGUAGAGAUUGGGAAGAACACCAGUGGCGAAGGCGGCUAUCUGGACGGUUUCUGACGCUAAGACGCGAAAGCGUGGGGAGCAAACAGGAUUAGAUACCCCCGUAGUCC
rnacentral:rRNA from 1 species